AAGUCGUAACAAGGUAACCGUAGGUGAACCUGCGGUUGGAUCAUUAUUGAAUAACUUCGGUGGAACGGCGCGUUUCGAAAGGAAUGCGGCGAACCAUUGCAGUAAACCCCUUGUGAACUUAAACCGUAUUUUGGCGGCCCUCCAAAACCGCGCUUUCUUUUAUGUGGCGCGAUGGGCUGUCAGCUUUUGAACUACUCUGUGUUUGUUUUAUAUUGUGUCUUGAAUAAAGUCUGUAAUGGAUUUUGUUUUAAAUAAAUUAAUAUACAACUUUUGACAACGGAUCUCUUGGCUCUC
rnacentral:misc_RNA from 1 species